GCCUGGGUGGCUCAGUUGGUUGAGCAUCUGACUUCAGCUCAGGUCAUGAUCUCACAGUUCGUGAGUUCGAGCCCCGUGUCGGGCU
rnacentral:tRNA from 1 species